rnacentral:rRNA from 1 species
GACGUAGGGCGCGAGCGUUGUCCGGAUUUAUUGGGCGUAAAGAGCUCGUAGGCGGUCUGUUGCGUCGGCUGUGAAAAUCCGGGGCUCAACCCCGGACUUGCAGUGGGUACGGGCAGACUAGAGUGUGGUAGGGGAGACUGGAAUUCCUGGUGUAGCGGUGAAAUGCGCAGAUAUCAGGAGGAACACCGAUGGCGAAGGCAGGUCUCUGGGCCACUACUGACGCUGAGAAGCGAAAGCAUGGGGAGCGAACAGG